GUGAUGAAUGACCUGAGAGAAGGUCAGCACUCUCCUCGACAAGGACGGAAGAGGUUCUAGUACCUUACAAAACGGUUCUCAUCCCCCCUAACCUUGACACGGGUUAUAAUAUUAUUCU